rnacentral:rRNA from 1 species
CACCGCGGUUAGACGAGAGGCCCUAGUUGAUAAUACAACGGCGUAAAGGGUGGUUAAGGAUAAGCAAAAAUAAAGCCAAAUGGCCCUUUGGCCGUCAUACGCUUCUAGGCGUCCGAAGCCCUAACACGAAAGUAGCUUUAACCCCGCCUGAACCCACGAAAGCUGAGAAA